UUCAGGAGUGGGGAGAACAGGUGGGAGCUGGCAGAAUCUCCCAAGAUGGUCACUCAUGGCCCACAGUGCUACAAGAUGAAAUUUCAUCAAGAGACUGGCGUCCAAACUGAAGUGACUCCUAGCCACUCUCCUUAACGGAGGGCAAGACGGCAGCACGGGGGCUGAGGGUUCCGCACACUUCUCCGGAACCGAUUAACAUCACAUCCUCUCCUCUUCCGUGAGGCGGCAUGGUGCCUUCUUCCCUCAGAUCCGCCCCUUGGGGAAGUCAUCUGAAAAUCUCAGGGCCACCACCUCACGCCCACGAGGAUGGCUGCUAUCAAGAAAACAGCAUUAUUCGCAAUAAUGAAUGUUAAAACAUGGAAACACGGAGGCAGCUCAGAUGUCCGACGGGGGAACGGCUAAGCAAAAUGUGACGCACGUACAACGGAACAUUAUUCAGCCUUGAAAAGGAAGGACAUUCUGCCAGCACAGCACGGCCUUGAGGACAUCCUGCGAAGUGAAACAAGUCAGUCACAAAAGGACACAUAUUACAUGAUUCCACUGACAUGAGUCACUCGAGCGGUCAAAUUCACAGAGAUACAAAGCAGAAUGGUGACUGGCAGGGACUGGGGAAGCGGAGGGGGCGUUCUGUUUGAUGGGUAGAGUUUUGUCUUACAAGACGACAAGAGUUCCGGAGACAGAUGGGUGAUGGUUGUACAGGAGUGGAAAACCCACUUAACACCACUGCCUGCGCUUGAAAACGGUGGAGAUGGUGACUCUUACGCUCCGUGUGUUUUAUCACAAUAAAGAAAAGAAAAGUCAAAAAAUAUUUUUUCAGGGCCUCACUGGACCAAACAGUCUUAAAGCCCUCUCAUUCCUGUGACUCCAUGCCACCCAACCCCACCCACCUUCUAGAAGGCCUGGCACUGUGGCAGAAAAGAACUUUACAGCCCCAGCAUUAAAACAGCACCUGGCACAAGGCGGGUGCUUGGGAAAUGUCUGUUGGUAGGAUGGAUGGACAGAAAGAUGGAGGGACAGACCCUCCUUUAAAUCUCAGAUCCUUUGGCAAACGGGCCACAUAGGUAGACUGGUGGUUGGUGCUGUUUAGAAAAUAAAAUCCCAGGGGCGCCUGGGUGGCUCGGUCA